CAGUCGCGCGGGAAUACGAAGGGGGCUAGCGUUGUUCGGAUUUACUGGGCGUAAAGCGCACGUAGGCGGAUCCUUAAGUCAGAGGUGAAAUCCCAAGGCUCAACCUUGGAACUGCCUUUGAUACUGGGGAUCUCGAGUUCGGGAGAGGUGAGUGGAACUGCGAGUGUAGAGGUGAAAUUCGUAGAUAUUCGCAAGAACACCAGUGGCGAAGGCGGCUCACUGGCCCGAUACUGACGCUGAGGUGCGAAAGCGUGGGGAGCAAACAGGAUUAGAUACCCCUGUAGUCCCUGUCUCUUAUACA
rnacentral:rRNA from 1 species